rnacentral:rRNA from 1 species
UGGGGAAUCUUCCACAAUGGGCGAAAGCCUGAUGGAGCGACGCCGCGUGAGAGAAGAAGGCCUUCGGGUUGUAAAUCUCUGUCUUCGGGGAAGAAUGUGCCCUAUGUGAAUAAUGUAGGGUAAUGACGGUACUCGAGGAGGAAGCCACGGCUAACUACGUGCCAGCAGCCGCGGUAAUACGUAGGUGGCGAGCGUUGUCCGGAAUUAUUGGGCGUAAAGCGCGCGCAGGUGGUUAUAUAAGUCUCAUUUAAAAGUGCUGAGCUCAACUCAGUGAUGGGUGAGAAACUGUAUGACUUGAGUGCAGGAGGGGUAGGCGGAAUUCCUAGUGUAGCGGUGAAAUGCGUAGAUAUUAGGAGGAACACCAGUGGCGAAGGCGGCCUACUGGACUGCAACUGACACUGAGGCGCGAAAGCCAGGGGAGCAAACGGG